AACUCUGAUGCAGCAACGCCGCGUGAGUGAUGAAGGUCUUCGGAUCGUAAAGCUCUGUUGUAUGGGACGAUAAUGACCGUACCAUAUAGGGAAGCACCUUGCUAACUACCUGCCAGCAGCCGCGGUAAUACGUAGGUGGCAGAGCGUUGUCCGGAAUUACUG
rnacentral:rRNA from 1 species